CAAAAUCUUAUCCUAUUUUCAGUAGAAAAAAUGAGAUCCAAAUUUCUUCUUCUUCUUCUUCUUCUUCUCGGCCUUGUCUUAGCCCUUCUGAUGUCUUCACAAGUAGCUUCAGCUAGAGAGCUUGCUUCCGUUCAUCCAUCGGAGGAAACUGAUGGUCACGGCGGAUACAGUCGGGGCUCGGGAGGCCGCGCAAAGAAGUGGAGGAGGCAGAGGUGGGAAGCACUGCCCCAGGACCGGGUGCUGAGGGAAGGGACUCACAACUAAGCACUUGCUAGCUCAUAUAUAACAUGUCAUGAAUAAAAUGCUAUAUGUAUAUUUGUAGCUAACACACAUUCUUGUUAGUUACUGUGAAGAGGUCCUUUUGAGCACAAGAUUAAAAGAAGUAAUGUUUAUAUAAUUAAACGGAUUAGAAAAGUAAAGAAUAUUAUAAAGUAAACGGAGUACUUUUCAUAGAAAAAAGAUGUUAGU